GCACCAUUAGCUCAGUCGGUAGAGCAACUGACUCUUAAUCAGUAGGUCUAGGGUUCGAUCCCCUAAUGGUGUACCA
rnacentral:tRNA from 1 species